GUGGGGUUCAUGGCUCAGAGGUAGAGCGCUCGCUUACCAUGUGUGAGGCACUAGGUUCGAUCCUCAGCACCACA
rnacentral:tRNA from 1 species